rnacentral:rRNA from 1 species
GAGGAAUGUAUAGCAAUAGCUACUUGUAUCAUUAAUGAUGCAAGCUCGACUAUGUUGAAUAAAAUUCUAGGUAGAAUUAUGAUAAUGACAUUGUCUGCCUAUGUGUCUUGACCAAAUUACGUGCCAGCAGUCGCGGUAAUACGUAGAAGACUAGUGUUAUUCAUGUUUAAUCGGUUUAAAGGGUACCUAGACGGUGAAUCAAGCUUUAAAAUAAAGAAUAAAAGGGACUAAUUCGCUAGAGUUACUUACGAGGGGGCUUUAAAGUACUGCUGGUGUAGAGAUGAAAUUCUGUCAUACCUCUUUUCGAAAGAAGAAUAACGGCACAGGUAUAGGCGAAGGCAUCCCCUUAUGUGAUAACUGACGUUGAGGGACGAAGGCUUCAUGUAACAAACAGGAUUAGAUACCCUAGUAGUUGAAAGCAGAAAAUGAUGAAUGUCAUAGAUUAGACGUCUAAGUUUAUUCUAUAAAUGAAAGUGUAAGCAUUCCACCUCAUGAGUAAUUUGGCAACAUUGGAAUUGAAAUCAUUAGACCGUUUCUGAAACCAGUAGUGAAGUAUGUUGUUUAAUUUGAUAAUCCGCAAAAAACCUUACCACAAUUUGAAUAUUUAUAUUAUUUAUUGUUAUCUUAUUAAUUUUCUUCCUUUUUUUACAUUAAUCAAAAACCAAACUAAGAAGAAAAAAAACCAAACAAAUAAAAAAAAACAAAGAGAAGAAGAGAAGAAAUAACAAAAAAGAGAAUAAAAUUAAUGAAGAGGCAAUAACAUAUAUCUACAAGCGUUGCACGGCUGUCUUCAGUUAAUGUCGCGAGACUUUGGUUAGUUCCAUUAAAUUAACGUAAACCCUUACUUUAUUUUUUAUAUAGAGUAGUUCCCCGCUAGAUUGGAUAUGAU